UUGUUUCUUUCCAGUAAAUCUAGGCCAGGUAAUAUGGAAAUAACUCAUGGUUAAUCUGUUUGGUUCCCGUCCUAAUUUAUGUUAUGAUGCAGUGGUCAAGACACUCUCCACUAUCAAUAAUACAAGUCUGCCAAAAUUGCCAUUUGAAUCUGUUCAGUAUCCUCUGUCUCGAAUGCAACGGAAUAAAUGUAUGUUUGUGAACCAAUUAAUGGCUGAAGCAAUGAUGGAAAUGGUGGACGAAUUAGAGGUGCAGAGUCGUGCGACACAACAACUGAUCAAUGUUUUUAGAGACAGUGUGGCAAAGCAGCAAGAACUUGCCCACAUGCUUAUGGGCGUCAUCUGUGCUGAGGUUGCAGAUUGUGACAUUGUAGAUGGUUAGGUGCUGCUCAUUUAUUUGCACUGGCAUCAAUCUUUGAUUGCCCAGUGGAUGUAAUUUCCUGUAAUAUAUUCUGGAUGUGCAACGUUAUUCCCUGUAUGUCGUACCUUUGCUCGUCGUAAUGGGCUCGAAUUAUCUAUUUUGGCC
rnacentral:lncRNA from 1 species